AAAUUUCAAAUUCGAAGGAUAAAUUUUGAAUCAGUUGAUUACAAAAGCCGCUUCAACAAAUAUCAGGUCCUACAAUUUCCAAAUGGCUAUGCACUCCUCCCCAAAGUAUAUUUCAUUUACAUAACUAAAGCGUUAGCUGAACUAUUUCAUAUUAAACCAAUAUUAGUUUUUUAUUAUCUUAAGCACCUCUAAUAAGAUAAGAAUAUACAAGCCUAGUUUAAUUACACUAUAACAAUAAAAAACAGCUUAGACAUUUCUUAAGUUUGCAACAUACCAGCGAUUACUUUUAAGAAUUUAAUAAUUCUUAUCAAUGGUUGAAAGCUUAACAAUAAAACUAUAAUACUCAUGGAAAUCACAAAGAAAAUAUAAUAUGCAGCAAUAAAGAUAGCGCCAACGGAUAUUGAUAAGUAUUCGCUAGCAGGUAGUUGUUUAUGACUUUACAAAAACACAUACCCAAAGAAAGGAUCUGUAUAGCAAUGCUCAAAUAGAGUGAACAGCUCACCAACUGUAUGGCCUGAUUGUCGAUAGAUUGCUUUUGUGAAAUAAUUUCGUAAGCGAUUUAUAUUUAUAUACAUUUUAUAAUGGUAAGCAACUAUGUAUGGAUAAUCACUCACAUGCAUAUGCAUUUAUUACAUGUACUACAUAUCUACAUAUGUACAUACAUACAUAUGUACUGGCAAGUACAAUAUCAGUUUCCUUCUACCGAAUGCCUUAACAGCAAAUAAUCAGUCAGGCAGACAUCAGAAAAGCAAGUAAUAGGCACUUUCGAGUCCAACGAGUCAUUGAUAGUGCUCAUAUUAAGUUGGCAAAAUGGAAACAAUACAGUCACGUAGUAACACCCUCCAGCCGAGCUAUCACCGGACAUGCACUUUGCCCAGUUAUAUUUAUGAGCUCAUGCAAGAGAUAAGCUGCCCAAAUGAAGGCACUGCAUUUACACAUACAUACAUAUGUACGUGUGCAUGCAAAAGAAGCGCUACAAAAGUAACCUCUAACAAGCAAACAAACAAACAAGUUAUUGAAAUAGUGACUUCUAAAUGCAUAUACGCUCCUUUACAUACAUAUGCAUAUGUAUACGCUGGCCGACAACCGCAAAGGAAUCUUGCCGCACACAAAGCGCCUUGUGCGGGUGUAAUGGCCUCUACGUAUUUAAAUGUACACGGCAGCAAGGCGUAACCAAAAUUGUGCUAUCCGCUAGUUACCUUAACAAGUGAAAAGCAACACCUGGCCCUGCCUUUUUACCCCCCAACUCAAACAUUUGGCUGACAAUCCAUGCGAGACGAUGAUUUCGACCAACUGACCAACUAACAUUACAUUUUGGCUAGGAAAAUACAACACCACCUUACCUCGAAUGCUAGUUGGAAGCUAAAUUAAGGCAAAGGUCGCAUUACAUACACCAAACUGGCAGAUACCAGCGUCCACUAGCUGUACAAUAUGGUUUCAAAGCGAAAACUAACUGGUGGCUAACUUUGGUUACGAGUAUUGUACAUACAUAUGGAUUUGCAAUACAUUCCAGUUUGAUGAAUACUUACACUCGAAAUUCUUGCAAUACCUAUAUCGGUAUAAGCGAUUUAUUGCACCAUAGACGCUAACAAUUUCAAUAACUUAUAGAUCGGUCGGUUUGGUUUUUAUGAACUUAGGUAUGUAUUUCUUUUUUUUAACAAGUUGCACUAUAGAUUUUAAGUUUUGCUGUGCUCAUAAACUAGACUUUUUUUCUUUCAAUAAUCAAACGCAGCGUAACACUUUUAACACAAACACAUGCCCUUCCUUUUCGUUGAAAUGAUUUCAUGUAAUUUUUAACUUUAUUUUUUCACUAUUUUCCUUCAGAAAAGUACAAAAUUUUCACAACAAUUUUUCAGUUUUUCGACCCGUGCACAACGCAGAAAUUCUUUCGUUUCAACUUCUCGACUUCGUUUGACAUUCGCAGUUUUUUUGCUUCUCUUGUUAUGACAUAUUCGUUAAAUUGAACGAAAAUGGGAAUGGUUCGUUCAAAGCAGC